CAUACACGUUAAGGAAAGGCAAUGAAGAUACAGUGAGAAGGAGCUCAAGCCAGGAAGAGAAUCAUUACCAGGAACAGACCCUGCUGGAACUAGGUCUGGGACUUCUAGCCUCCAGAAUUCUGGAACAGCGAGAUGCAAAAAUCCUGAACCUUCAAAGCCAGCUCCUGCAGAAGAGAGAGGGCCUGGCAGCUGAGCUGGAUGCUUCAGGAGCAGAGGAUCUAUCAACUGCAGACCAAACAUAGGGAGACGCAGGCAGACCUGGAACAGAAACCCAGCCAGCUCCAGCCGCUCCGAAGAAUACGUGGUGGCCACAGUCGGCAGCAGGAAGCAUGAGGCAGGAAAUGACCCAAUCCUUGAGGGCUGGUAAAGAAAACAAAGACCCAGCUGGGAGAGACUAAAAUGCACCUACUUUCAAGCCCAAGCCUUCAGAGAGCUUUGGAGACUUCAGCACCCCAUCCUCUGCUGUCAGAGCCAUGUGCACUUAUUUCCUUUCCACUGUCAAAGUCUGUCAUCUGGAAGGGUAUGAAAUUCAUCCUGUCUGGAUUUUAAGACACUUUGGAUGAAUGGAAUGUCAUUUUCUGAGAUCUGGAAGCCCGAGAACUCUUUAACAUAAGAGAUCUGAGUGUGGAUAUCCACCAGGGCCUCGGAGAUGCAGAGAUCUGCAUCUGAUGGGAUUUGUCCCAUCUCUGCCAAACCCUCCAAGUCACUACUCUCACUUCCUCAGAACUCUGCUCCAUCUUCCAACUAGCAGUUAUCUAGUGAAGACACUCAUUCAUUUUUAGUUGAUUGGAACCAAGACAAAGCAAAGCAGUGAGAUUUCUUUUCUGGCUCUCUGGUUGUUGUCACUACAGCUCCCAACUUCAUACGCAGUCACCCUAGAGCAAUGGAAAAGGAAGAGACUCAGGCCCUCAGAGCACCUGAUGCUUUUAAAGUUCACCUGCUGACAUUAUUCCAUGGGACAUCAAGGAUGAUAGGCAGGGCUUAGCUGUGAUGGCUCCCGUCUAUCUUGAGCCAAGGAGGCUUGGAGAAGUUAGACUGGAAAUACAUCAUUGGACUUAAGUGUUAAGUUAAAAGUCUGAGAACAGUCUUCCUGGUUGUGCAAAUGUUCUCAGUGAAGUCACCACCAUGGCCAAAUGGUGGAUAUGAAUUCUGCACCUAGGAAUUGUACUUACCUUUCUUGCAGUUCAAAUACAUUAUUAUGCCAACAUUAGCUAGCAGGAAAGGUUUAUAAUCACUCCACACAAUGUCACCAAGGUCUGUGGAAGUCUGUUUCUUCUGUGCCUCCAGUGGUUCUAUUCUCAUUACCAAUUCAGUCGGGACAAGAUCAACAAAGCUGAGGUAACAAACUCUGAAAUCUAAUAGCUUAACACAACAAAAUCUUUCUUCAUAUUUAUGCAAAGUCUGAACGUUGGGGGUCCUCCAUGGAGUGCCUCAGGGACCUUGGGUCCCUCUCUUUGGGAACAUUGCUAUCUCAACAAGAAGCCCCUAGAGUGAUCAUGGCAGGGAACAAGAGAACACAGAGGUGGCAUAUCAAUUCUCAAAUACCCCAGCCUGGAAGUGACAUACAUUAUUUGCAUGCAUACUACAGUGGCUAGGACUAGUCACGUGGCCCUGCCUAACUGCAGGAGGCAGAGGAAUGUCAUCUUCCUCAUUAAGGAAGAAAAGGAGAGCUAGCUAUACAAGUACACUAGUAAUUUCUGUGAUGGUAUUUACAUAAGAAACCAUCAGAAACAAAAUCAGAGUUCUUCAAACUUGUGAUAAGAAUACUCUUUUUAUUAACUAUUUUUAUCUAUAAAAGUAAUACAUCAUCAUAGUAAAAAGAAUUCAAAAUGCACAGUAAGGUAUCAGGUGAAAAGUGGAAUUCUCCUCCUAUCUAAUUCUUACCCUCUCCCUCCAGGUCUUCCCCAGAAGUUUCCUGUAUAUUCUUCCUGCUAUUGUUUUUUAACUCAAUAAUGUCUUAGGUAGCUUUUCAUAUCAAACCACAUAGAGCUACCAUCUUAUUUUAAUCACCUAGUAUAAAUGCCCCAAUCAACCCCUUUAAUCAACAUUUAGGUUGCUUUCCAUUUCGAACUAUCAUAAACCAUGCUCUCUGCAUACAUAGUUCAGUAGAUGUAGUAUAUGCUAAGAUAAACUUCUACAUGAUGGAACACAAAGUCAAAAUGCCAUAUAGGCAUUUUAAAUCUUGAAAUCCACUGCCUAAUUGCUCUCUCAAAAGGGCAAUUUUAUUUACUCAAAAAAUGAUGGGCCUGCUAUUUAAAUAUUGAUGACAGUAAGGAAUUUUUGCGAAUUUUGCUAGGCGUGACAAUGAUACUUUUUUUAAAGUUCUUAUCUGUUAGGGAUAAUUACUGAAGUGUUUGUAAGAGAGAUAAUACAAUGACUUAGAUUUGCUUUUAAAUAAGUAACUCAAGCCAAAAAAAGAUGAUGUGGGAUGGAUAAAGCACAAAUGGUAAACUAUUGAUCAUUGUUGAAGUGGAUGAUUCAUUAUACUCUUCUCUCAACCCUUGUAUUUGAUAUUUUCCAUAAUAAAAAGUUAAUUCUUUAUGCUUAUUCUAAGAGGAGAUGUUUGAGAGGCUUAUUGCAGCACAUUGUCAACGUCCUGAUUAAAGUCAGAGGAGU